CCCCAAGAUGCUUAAUUCUGGAAGCUUGUAUUCUCUACUGUGUUAAGGGAACCCCUUCCACCCAAGAUCAUAAACUUUCUGCUCCUCCGAGGUAGUCCAUUUGCCACCGAGAACUAGGGGUUACCAUCGGGGUCAGAGACUUUGAUUGCUUCCUGAGAGGAGGUAGACCAGCGCAGAGAGAAAGGACCUGGAGAAGGAGGACUUUAAAAAUGAGACCCUGGAGGAGAUUAUUUCUUUUCUCUGGAGGUCUUUGGCUGGGUGUGAAGACACUCUCAAAAGGUUCCUCUACAGUCUCAUUUUUAAAGUCCCCUGUCGUUUCCCUCUGUGCUGGUCUACCACCUCUCAGGAACCAAUCAAAGUCUCUCUGACCCGGAUGGUAACCUCUACUUCCGGGUCGCUAAUGGCUUGGAGGAGCAGAAAGUUUAUGAUCCGGUGAGGAAGGGGUUCCCUUUAGGCUCUACUCUGAUGCCUUUUUAACCUCUCUGGCCUCUCAGUCACUCAAGACUUACCAUUAUAUGCUUCCAUCUUUUAUUUUUGUACAAAACUGAUCCUGUUAAUAUUGGCCUCAUUCAGCAGUAAGCAAGGAAACAAGUGCCCAAGCAAAUGGGAAGUAGGGUCUAGUCUUCUUGGGAGGAAAACUAUAUGCCCUAAUUAGGACUUUCAGGAACAAGUAUGAUGCAGUUAGGCAUGCCUGAGAAGAGAAGCCCAAUCUCAAGGCUUUGCUCACCCAGCAUGUGAAGACUGCUUCAGCGGAACAGGUGGAAGAAACCAACAAGAAGGUUCAACGGCUGAGAGGGCGACACAGCAAAGCACUGUGGAGUGCUUAGGGCGUGUUGGAGCACAAAGGACAACAUGGCCACCCGAUGCAGCUGAGGAAGUCUCCAGACGUAACAAUUUUUUCGUGCCACUGGACCCAGGCUUCCAACGCCGAGAGAGUGGGACUGUCUCUGUGCAUCGACUUUUCCACUUAAAUCUUCAUGCACAAGUGUCUUUGUGCACAAAAACACACAAAGACAAUUUUCAUCCUCGGUUACCGAGAGACUACUACUACUAUUAUUAAUGGUAUGUAAUAAUCUUUCAUAUUGUUGCUGAUGGCUUAUAAUUCUUUUUAAAUUGCUCAGAUACAUUAAUCAAUAAUCUAUUUAGCAAUUACUAUUGGUUUUAUAUAUUUUUGUUAAUUCCCCCUAUAUCUUUCAUGCCAGACUCACUUAAUUCAAAGUUUCAUUCCUUCCCCAAAACCUUUUGUAAUAACUUGUCAAGAUCUGUAAUUUUGUCAUUUUGGAGAAACUUAUCAAUGCCAAUUAUUGACUAUUCUGUUAUUUAUAAUCUUAUAGAAUUGCUCAGAGCAUUAAGAGGUUAAAUGAUUUACCCAGAAUCAUAAAAUAGAUAUUGUCAGAGAAGGUUCUUGAACCUAAAUCAUCUUUAAACUCUAAACUAUUCUGCCUUUCUAAAUAUUAUGUGGUCAAAUUUAUGUCUUCUAUUUUUUGUUAAUUUUUCAUCAUCUUGGAUAAGAAUUUUUCACCUAGUCACAAGUACAAAAUAUAUCAUCUCAGAAAAAGCAAUCUAUAUAUAUGCCAAAAUAUUCAUAGCAUUACUUUUAAAAAUACAAAUUAGUAGAAUGUCCUUUGGAAAAUGAUUAAAAAUAUAGAAG
rnacentral:lncRNA from 1 species